AUUGCGUUCUCGGACUUUUGGCUAAGAUCAAGUGUAGUAUCUGUUCUUAUCAGUUUCAUGCCGGUGGCAGGUGACGCCGCUAUGGAGGUGGUAGGGAUGAGUACUGCCUGGUAGGGGGCAGGUGCACCAGGGCAUUCCAGGGCUGGUUCUAAGAAAUCAGCUCGACGGCUGCCCCAAUGUGACCUGUU